rnacentral:tRNA from 1 species
UGGCUCAGAUGGUAAAGCAUCUGCCUACGAUGCAGGAGACCCGGGUUCGAUUCCUGG